GGGGGAUGUUCCUGGUGGCCCAGGCGGUCGCGCGGCGCAUGGUCAUGCGCGGAUCCGGCGUGAUCGUGAACAUGGCGUCCACGAACGCGCUCGGCGGGGAGGAGAACCUCGCGCACUACAACGCCUCCAAAGGGGGCGUCCUCCAACUGACGAGGACGAUGGCCGUGGAGCUCGGCCGGCACGGGAUCCGCGUCAACUGUCUGUGCCCCGGGUUCAUCCGCACGCCACUCAACGACGCGAUCAGCGACGAGGCGUUCGUGGCCGCGUACGAGCGGCACAAGAUCCCGUUGGGUCGCGCGGGCACACCGGAGGAGGUCGCCGCGGCCUACGCGUUCCUGGCGUCGGACGACGCGUCGUUCAUCCACGGCGAGGCGCUCGUGAUCGACGGCGGUCAGACCGCGAUCAUGUGAGGUGGUGCGGUCGCGCCUCGACGCUCACCGGCACGGUCGGUACGGCUGCGCGAACAGCGAGUAGUUGCGCGCUUUCUUGAUCGAGUUGAACCCGAGCGUCUCGGCAUCCGCACAGAACUCGUCGCGCGUGAGGCGGUACUCCACCUCGAAGACCGCCUUGCCCGCCUGGACGAACGCAUCCUCGCCCGGCGAGGGGUUCCCCGAGCAGAAGUGGUACUGGAAGCACUCCUCCACGAUCGCGUAGUCGAAGUAGGGAAGCAGGUCCUUCACCUGUGACGGAUCGUUCUUCAUGGCGACCGACAUCCCGUGGCGAUGCGCCAUGUUCGCGAGUCGCGUGUUGAACAUCAGCUGCGAACGGAAGCUGAUGUGGAAGCCGGAGUGAGGGUCCUCGUACGUGUCGAUGAUGUCCCACUCCACGCCGUCGAACCCGGCCGCCGCGCACUUCCUCACGCGGUCCCGGUUCACCUUCAGGAUGAACGCCCGUUGCCCCUGGUCGUUGUUGAUGUUCAGGAAGAACUCGUCCGGGAAGACCUGGCUGAACGGGUUGCCGAUCAGGCAGCCGUCACAUGCCUCAUCGAAAUCGACGAACCGUUGGUAGUCGGGGCGAUACGUCUCUGCGUCGCCGGCAUCGAUGUAACAGAUCGCGUGACCGCCCGCCGCGUGGAUCGCGUCGACGGCGGCCGUGUUGACCA
rnacentral:misc_RNA from 1 species